rnacentral:rRNA from 1 species
AUAAUAAUAAGUAAUUAAGAGCGUAUGGCGGAUGCCUUGGCUCUCAGAGGCGAUGAAGGACGUGAUAAGCUGCGAUAAGUUACGAGGAGGUGCAAAUAACCGUUAAUUCGUAAAUUUCCGAAUGGGGCAACCCACUCAGCAAUGAGUAUUCUAUUUAUAGAAGGCAAACCCGGAGAACUGAAACAUCUAAGUACCCGGAGGAGAAGAAAACAAAAGUGAUUCCCUUAGUAGUGGCGAUCGAAAAGGGACCAGCCCAAACCAGUAUUGUUUCGGCAAUGCUGGGGUUAUAGGACUACAACAUGAUAAAGUGCGUGAAGUGAAACGUUUUGGAAAGAACGGCCACAGAGAGUGAUAGCCUCGUCCACGUAAGCAAUCUGCAUCUAGUAGUAUCCUGAGUAGCGCGGAACACGAGAAAUUCUGUGUGAAUUUGCCAGGACCAUCUGGUAAGGCUAAAUACUCCUGAGAGACCGAUAGUGAACAAGUACCGUGAGGGAAAGGUGAAAAGCACCUCGAAUAGAGGAGUGAAAUAGUACCUGAAACCAUACGCUUACAAGCGGUCGGAGCACCUUUGUGGUGUGACGGCGUGCCUUUUGCAUAAUGAGCCUACGAGUUACUCCUCACUAGCAAGGUUAAGGUCUUCAGGACCGGAGCCGAAGCGAAAGCGAGUCUGAAUAGGGCGAAAAAGUUAGUGGGGGUAGACGCGAAACUUGGUGAUCUACCCAUGGUCAGGCUGAAGCUCUGUUAAUCCAGAGUGGAGGGCCCAACCCGUUGACGUUGAAAAGUCUUGGGAUGAACUGUGGGUAGGGGUGAAAGGCCAAUCAAACUGAGAAAUAGCUCGUACUCCCCGAAAUGCAUUUAGGUGCAGCGUCAGAGUAAAGAGUUAUAGAGGUAGAGCUACUGAUUGGAUGCGAGGGCUUCAUCGCCUAUCAAAUCCAGACAAACUCCGAAUGCUAUAACUUAUAUCUGGCAGUGAGCCCGUGGGUGCUAAGGUCCACGGACGAGAGGGAAAGAACCCAGACCAUCAGCUAAGGUCCCCAAAUGUAUGCUAAGUUGAACAAACGUGGUAAGAUUGCAUAGACAGCUAGGAUGUUGGCUUGGAAGCAGCCAUUCAUUUAAAGAGUGCGUAACAGCUCACUAGUCGAGCGAUCUUGCGUGGAUGAUAAUCGGGCAUAAGUAUACUACCGAAGCUAUGGACUUCUGUUGAAAGAUACAGAAUUGGUAGGGGAGCAUUCUAAACAGCGUAGAAGGUGUGUGGUAAUGCAUGCUGGAGCGUUUAGAAAAGCAAAUGUAGGCAUAAGUAACGAUAAUGCGGGUGAGAAACCCGCACGCCAAUAGACUAAGGUUUCCUGAUCAACGCUAAUCGGAUCAGGGUAAGUCGGGACCUAAGGUUAACCCGAAAGGGGAUAUCGAUGGACAACCGGUUAAUAUUCCGGUACCCGCUAUAACUGCGAUGGGGUGACGAAGAGAUGACAACGCCGCGAACUGACGGAAUAGUUCGUUGAAGGCCGUAUGCUAUGAGAGAUGUAGGCAAAUCCGCAUCUUGAGCUGAAAGCUGAUAGUACCGCAAGGCUUCGGCCGCGUGGAUAGUGCGUGUAAUUUGACUUCCAAGAAAAACCUCUAAGCUUCAGGUUAUAGUGGCCCGUACCUCAAACCGACACAGGUAGUCAAGUAGAGUAUACUAAGGCGCUCGAGUGAUUCAUGGCUAAGGAACUCGGCAAAAUAACUCCGUAACUUCGGGAGAAGGAGUGCUCACAGCAAUGUGAGCCGCAGUGAAAUGGCCCAGGCGACUGUUUAUCAAAAACACAUGGCUUUGCAAAAACGAAAGUUGAAGUAUAAGGCCUGACACCUGCCCGGUGCCGGAAGGUUAAGUGGAGAUGUUAUUUUUCGGAAGAAGCAUUGAAAUGAAGCCCCGGUAAACGGCGGCCGUAACUAUAACGGUCCUAAGGUAGCGAAAUUCCUUGUCGGGUAAGUUCCGACCUGCACGAAUGGUGUAACGAUCUGGGCACUGUCUCAGCCAUGAGCUCGGUGAAAUUGUAGUAUCGGUGAAGAUGCCGAUUACCCGCAACGGGACGGAAAGACCCCGUGCACCUUUACUGCAGCUUCACAUUGAUUUUGGGUAAGUAAUGUGUAGGAUAGGACGGAGACUAUGAAGCGGGUCCGCUAGGAUUUGUGGAGUCAACCUUGAAAUACGUCCCUUUGCUUAUCUGGAGUCUAACGUCUGACGACGGACAGUGUGUGGUGGGUAGUUUGACUGGGGUGGUCGCCUCCAAAAGAGUAACGGAGGCUUCUAAAGGUACCCUCAAUACGUUUGGUAAUCGUGUGAAGAGUGCAAUGGCACAAGGGUGCUUGACUGUGAGACCUACAAGUCGAUCAGGUACGAAAGUAGAGCAUAGUGAUCCGGUGGUUCCGUAUGGAAGGGCCAUCGCUCAAAGGAUAAAAGGUACGCCGGGGAUAACAGGCUGAUCGCUCCCAAGAGCUCAUAUCGACGGAGCGGUUUGGCACCUCGAUGUCGGCUCGUCACAUCCUGGGGCUGGAGAAGGUCCCAAGGGUUGGGCUGUUCGCCCAUUAAAGUGGCACGCGAGCUGGGUUCAGAACGUCGUGAGACAGUUCGGUCCCUAUCUGUUGUGGGCGUUAGAAAUUUGCGAGGAUCUGACUCUAGUACGAGAGGACCGGGUUGGACUAACCUCUAGUGUAUCUGUUGUGGCGCCAGCUGCAUUGCAGAGUAGCUACGUUGGGCAGGGAUAAGUGCUGAAAGCAUCUAAGCACGAAGCCUACCUCAAGAUGAGAUUUCUUUAAAGGGUCGUAGGAGACGACUACGUUGAUAGGCCACAGAUGUAAAGGCAGUGAUGUCAAAGUCGAGUGGUACUAAUUACCCAUAAGCUUAUGAAU